UGUCCUACGGGGCGCAGCAGUGGGGAAUAUUGCGCAAUGGACGAAAGUCUGACGCAGCGACGCCGCGUGAGGGAUGAAGGUUUUCGGAUCGUAAACCUCUGUCAGGAGGGAAGAAAGCGCAUGGCGCCAAUCAGCCAUGCGUUGACGGUACCUCCAAAGGAAGCGCCGGCUAACUCCGUGCCAGCAGCCGCGGUAAUACGGAGGAUGCGAGCGUUAUCCGGAUUUAUUGGGUUUAAAGGGUGCGUAGGCGGGCUUUUAAGUCAGCGGUAAAAAUUCGGGGCUCAACCCCGUCCGGCCGUUGAAAC
rnacentral:rRNA from 1 species